GUUGAGAGCAUCGUUGUUUUUCCAGUUUUAUACAAAAGUUGAAACUUAAUGGUGAUUAUUUUAUUAGAUAUACUUCAUGACUCUUUACUUCUCGGAAUCGGAAACUCGGAAUCAGGAAUCAAACUCUUUCCUUAUUGAAAGUCUCUGCUGGGUGAAAUUGGGGGUAUACAGUUCCCAAUCUGAAAGUCCAUUGCGGAACCAAGUGUUGGUCCGCAACUUGUUGAGAAGGGUUAUGUACGCAAUAGAGUGGGAACUACCCGCCCCGAACACUCAAAUGUCAGCACCAUCGGAAGGCGCGAGCGAUUCCAGUAACCUGGUUCCAGAUCAGUUGAAUGCUGAGGAGAUUCUGAUGCAAACCUGCCAGGCAUUGGAAUCGCUCAGCGAUGAGGAAAUCCAGCAGGCCCUUAACAGCAUGGAAUGGGAACCGUUCUGAAGGGGAUCGCCUGGAUUAUCAAGCCGUUGGGGUCAUACCCGGACAUGAACCGCGCAGAAACAUUACGACAAAUUACUGAAACAUUUUCCAAACGGAUCAAAAACAAUGAACAAGGAUGAUUGACGAAAACAUUGACAGUCAUACAAGAAAUCGUAUUACAUUCCGUUCCAGGUGGUACAACUACAGACAAGCAAUAUUUUUAUUGUGAUUUCUUGUGUAAUAACAAUUCACAAAUUGUGAAUAACCAUAGUGAAUGACUUGGAAUUGAAUAUAAUUGUAAACAUUA